rnacentral:lncRNA from 1 species
UCUAUUGUGUUUCAGGUAAAGAUUUGAUCCUUAAUCAUGUAGAUUAAUAAAAAAAUUUUACAUGCAAUCUGGGCUAUCCAAAAAGAAAUAGUUUUCCUUCCCUUCAAUGUCAUCAGCUUGUCCCAUCCAUAGUCAACAAGCUAUACUUGACAAAUGGUUGGACAUUGACAAUUAGGUUAGAUGCUUUGAAUUGGACUACAUGGCUGAUGAACUCCAAUGUGUAUGCCUAAGG